rnacentral:snRNA from 1 species
AACUUUGCGCACGGGCAUGAUCGUAGCUGAGGAAGGUUAAUCCUGAUGGCGCGAUUAUUGCUAGUUGAAAACUUUACCCAAUACCCCGCCAUGUUGUGAUGUAAAUCGCGACAUCGGCAAUUUUUGGAAACCGGAAACGGU